GAUGAACGCUGGCGGCGUGCCUAAUACAUGCAAGUCGAGCGAACAGACGAGGAGCUUGCUCCUCUGACGUUAGCGGCGGACGGGUGAGUAACACGUGGAUAACCUACCUAUAAGACUGGGAUAACUUCGGGAAACCGGAGCUAAUACCGGAUAAUAUAUUGAACCGCAUGGUUCAAUAGUGAAAGACGGUUUUGCUGUCACUUAUAGAUGGAUCCGCGCCGCAUUAGCUAGUUGGUAAGGUAACGGCUUACCAAGGCAACGAUGCGUAGCCGACCUGAGAGGGUGAUGGGCCACACUGGAACUGAGACACGGUCAAGACUCCUACGGGAGGCAGCAGUAGGGAAUCUUCCGCAAUGGGCGAAAGCCUGACGGAGCAACGCCGCGUGAGUGAUGAAGGUCUUCGGAUCGGAAAACUCUGUUAUUAGGGAAGAACAAAUGUGUAAGUAACUAUGCACGUCUUGACGGUACCUAAUCAGAAAGCCACGGCUAACUACGUG
rnacentral:rRNA from 1 species